CCUGUCAUCAAAAUAAAAAAGAGUUACUUAGUAGGGUAAUUACCAAACCUUCAUAUUAAGAGUGAUAUUAGCUAUUUAAACACAAGAACCUGUGUAAUACUGCCACUAAAAUAUUGGGACCAGUGUUGAAAUAGAAUUCUGAGAUAGGUUUGGGCUUCUCUGCAAGUACUAGUUCUGUGGUUUUGGGCACCAGUAGUUCCAGGAGGUUGCAACGUUGGUGGCUAGAAACUCACAAAACAGGAGAAGGCAGGCAUUGUGCAGGCAAUUAUGAUAAUUUUGUGUUACCUCCUCCAUGCAUUGAGAAAACACCGGAGCAAUGAUUAUCUAUGAAAAUAACUGAUUCAAUCUAGUUUGACCCCAACCAGCUGCCAAAACGUAAGCUGGUUGAGAAUUUUAACAAAGGUGAAGGACAAGCAGCCUAGGAGCUGGAAAUAGCAUAGAAGGCUUGGCCUGUAAUUGUGGGAGGUACAUUAUUCCCUAUUUAAACGCAGUAAGCCCAGUUUACCUGUCGUCGACAUUCCCGGAAGUGCAUCGCUUUACUUCCGGUAUCAAUCAAAUCAAAUACAUAUGUUGUUUAACCAAUACACAUAAGGUUUUCAAUAAAUCAAAACGCAUGAUUAUGGUAAACUCUACGACCUGUUACAAUUCUAAUCUAAUUUAUUCAGCUAUUAGAUAAAUAUUCUUUUUAUAAACUCUGCUCUUAAAAAAUGCCAUAAUCCUCCGUUUACCUUACACAUGUCACUACAAUUCGAGCAAUCAGGCAUUUCAGGUUAAACAUUCAUCUACUCAUGGGAAUAUCAGGUGUCCGUUCGCAUUAAUUUGUUUAAUUAAACCUUUCGUUACAUACAAUAGCCGAGCAUAAACACUUCAUCCAGCUUUCGGUUGUUUUACACAAAACUCAGUUAUGAAGCUCCAUUCAUGCAAACUUUCAUUUCGUGUGGUAUAAACUGGCAUUAUUUCAAUGCUGGUAUUUCACUCACACAUUGCAGUAGAAGUUAAAACUCUGUUUAGAUUAAGAUUACCAUUCUGUCAUUUUCAUUCUUACUAUGACGGUUCCAUUCAUUUAAGCUUCGAUAUUGUCAAUUAUAUGCCGGGUAGCCUGGUUGAAU